AAGGAGUCUAACAUCUAUGCGAGUGUUCGGGUGUCAAACCCCUACGCGUAAUGAAAGUGAACGGAGGUGAGAACCGCAAGGUGCAUCAUCGACCGAUCCUGAUGUCUUCGGAUGGAUUUGAGUAUGAGCAUAUCUGUUAGGACCCGAAAGAUGGUGAACUAUGCCUGUGAAGGGCAAACUCAGAGGUAACUCUGGUGGAGGCUCGUAGCGAUACUGACGUGCAAAUCGUUCGUCAUACAUGGGUAUAGGGGCGAAAGACUAAUCGAACCAUCUAGUAGCUGGUUCCCUC
rnacentral:misc_RNA from 1 species